rnacentral:rRNA from 1 species
AUUGAACGCUGGCGGCAGGCCUAACACAUGCAAGUCGAGCGAGCGGCGGACGGGUGAGUAAUGUAUGGGGACUGCCCGAUAGAGGGGGAUAAUUACUGGAAACGGUGGCUAAUACCGCAUACUGUCGGAUAACCCAUAUGGGAUUAGCUAGUAGGUAAGGUAACGGCUUACCUAGGCAACGAUCCCUAGCUGGUCUGAGAGGAUGAUCAGCCACACUGGGACUAAGACACGGCCCAGACUCCUACGGAGACAGCAGUAGGGAAUGUUAAAGAAUGGGCGCAAGCCUGAAACAGCCAAGCCGAGUGAAUGAAGAGGGCCCUAGGAUUGUAAAGUACAUACGGUCGGAAAGCGUUACCGACAGAGUAAGCAACGGCUAACUCCGUGCCAGCAGCCGCGAUAAUUC